UUGUAUAUUUCAUGCCUUCCAGAAAUUUGUGGGUAAAAAAGAAUAAUGUAAAAACAAAGAUUGAAUAUUAAUGUUUUUCUUUGUCUAAGUUUCUGUCGUUGGCUGCAUGAUAAAACAAAUGUUUAUCAUCAUGAAGUAUCUGGGUUCUAUUUAUGGAUGUUACUUAUCGUUUUUCAGGAAGGGUCCAGGCUCAACCAGGCUUGUUGAAUCCCAUCCUUUUAACUUUCUGGUUGAUCUCACCAUAAGUUUUGGACAGUGUGAUGGUUCUAAAACUGGCUGCUACCAAAAGUAUCCAUUGUUAGUUUCAUUUAAACUAACAUAAUAAAGUUUCUAGCAAACAUAGAUGGUUUCCUAAUUAGUCAUUUGACCUAUGAUAAUCCGAUAUUAUGAUUUACCUUUACAAUAUUCUGAAUUUGGUUGUUUUAAUUAUAUAUUAGCUAUAAAUACUUUGUUUUAUUUGAUUGCUUAGGAAAGCAAUUGCCUUCCACCUUGAUGUGGGUUCAGUUCAGGAUUUUAUAUUUUGGAGAAUCUGAUAUUUUGGAGGAUCAGAUUGAUUUUUACCAUCUUGAAGGAUUUGGUAUUCUAUUGUCUAUCAUUACUACUAAAAUUAUUAACAUUGUGGUCAUUUUUGAUUUAUAUCA
rnacentral:lncRNA from 1 species